CUGCCCAUGAAGAAGGGGUCUUCAAUCACCUGCCUGUGGUCGUACACGAUCACCUGCAGACAGAAGACUCACCGUUCUGAGCCAGGAAACUGGCCCACAGAGUCCAGACCAUCCAUCCUCCACAAGAACCCAUCUCUGACCAAGAGUCGGACUCUGGACUGAAGCUCCGGAUGUGAAAAAAUGUUCUGAGUGAUGAGACUGUCCCCUCCUCCUCUGUCCCCUCCUCCACUGCCCCCUUCUCCUCUGUCCCCUCCUGCUCUGUCCCCUCCUCCACUGUCCCCUCUGAGUGACAGGACUGUUCCAGCCUCCUGUCCCAACAGUGUCUCUGAGCGCCCUGACAGUCUUGUCUCUCAGAGACCCUGAGGGGACACAGUAACAGAGGACAGUCUCUGUGACUCAUCAGCUGAGUUUGURUCUCUGAUUAGCGCUUCUUGUAAAUCUCAGCUGGACCCUGAAGAGCCUCGGACGUGGACCAGGUUCUGGAGUGGUGGCGGUGCACAGAUCUGYGGACCCCUGCAGCGAGGCGUGUGGCCAUGAGAAGCCCCUCCCCUCCCGACCUGUGGGCUGAACACACGCAGCSGUUUGAUGGAUUCACAGGAACAGUCUGUGAGUCAGAGGAGCUGCUGGGAUCAGARCCACUGAGCUCACAGUGGUUCUGCCACCAGUCCAAAACCAAAGCCAGUCCUCCGGUCAUGAGGCACAGUUAGGAUGGAAUCAGUGCCAGCAGUUAGAACUGGUUAUUUAAAGAGGCGGCGCUCAGUUUUGAGCUCCAGCAGGAAGUGAAGAUUCUGCAGUAGAAUGUGACCUUUUCAUGUUGACCUUUCUGUCUAAGUUCCAGGUGCUGACAGCAGCUGGUUCGUGUCCAUGUCUCUUUGUUUGGACUCUUCUCACCCAUCUUUCAUCACAGCAUUACCAUGGUGAUUUCAGAGAYAUGAUGUCUGAGUUCCUGCCUGUUUUUGUCCUACAGACAUCUACAAUAAAAGCAACAGAUCAUCUUUCUUUA